rnacentral:lncRNA from 1 species
GUUGCCAGGAGGGUUCUGUGAAGUGACUCAUGGUCAGCCCAGAAGGCAGUUGUAGAGCACAGAUUCCCUGUCUGAACAGUCCUGAAGGCUCAGAAAUGUCACUUGGGCUCAGUCACUGCAGGCUUGGGACGUUGCUGCAAGGAACCACAGAGUGCUCAGUCUGUCUCACGACUGUGUUCCUUGUGACAGAACAGCAAGCUCUUUCCUGAAGGGAGAGCUGAACAGCGCAGUCCACAAAGGUGGCAUGGGCUUGGACUCCUGCCACCAGCUUAAGUUAUGGGAAAAGGAGCAUGAGACUAAGGCCUUCCGGAAGCUUCCAGAUUUAAACCAACCCCACAGACAUGAGACAAAUCUGCCUAUAGAGAAUUGUAUUAUAGCCAAAUGCCUGUGUAUAUAUUUAUCUGUGCCUGAGAUUCUCAUCUCUUUUUAAAGAAAAAGCCACACACUUGGAGGAAAAAAUAAAGUGAAAAAAUGUACUAUUGACUAACUCUUCAGGAUGGUUGCUCAGAAUGGAUAAAA